UCUCAAUUACACUCAGCUGAACUCACAUCUCCCAUCAACAUGCCCUACUGUUGCCCUGGAAACUUCUCCUCUGGCUCCUUCAGGGGCUACCAGCACUACCCAGGCAUCUCCUGUGGCUCUUCUUACCCCAGCAACCUGGUCUACAGCACAGACCUCUGCUCUCCCAGCACCUGCCAGCUGGGGUCCUCCCUCUACACCGGCUGUCAGGAGGCCUGCUGUGAGUACCAGCUGCCAGAUAUCCUGCUACCACCCGAGGACCUCCUUGCUCUGCAGUCCCUGCCAGAUGACUUACCCUGGAUCUCUGGGCUAUGGGUACAGGAGCUGCUACUCCCUAGACUACAGGUCCAGUGGCUUUAGACCCCUGGGUUGUGGAGGCUCUGGCUUCCCUUCCCUGGGCUAUAGAUCCAGAUUCUGUUACCCAAACUACUGGGCUUCUAGAACCUGUCAGUCUUCUUGUUACAGACCAAUCUGUGGAUCCCACUUCUAUUAA